AUGAGGUCUGACAUACAAAAGGUCUGGAUAAGGAAGUUUAUUAAUUUCGGUUCUGUUCAGCAAACUGAGUGCCUACUGCGUGUGAAAUUCUGGUGGGUGCCUAGGUGGCAAAGCCGGGUGAGCCAUGACCCUGCCCUUGAGGGAUUGCUCCUGAAAUCGGGCUCUCAAGCCUUGAGAAAAGUCUGCCUUGCAGUCAGUGAAGGCCUGUGGAACUUGAGAGGAAUUCCUUCCAGCUCUCCAACUGACCUCCAACUUUAGGAGCACAUGGCCUUCAGAGCACUUGGUGAGUCUGAGUGUUCCUUGGAUGCAUUCCCUCAGCUCUCUAGCCCUGCUCUCAGCCUUUAGCAGGCUGCUGCUUUGCCCUUGAAAAGGCUCAGUGCCUUUUCCUGGGGUAGGAAGUGGGGCUGAUGCGUGGAUCUCUCUUAGGUCUCUUGCCUUGCCCCUAGCUUUUUGCUGACUAUCCCCCUCCACUCAGUGAAGGCCUGUGGAGAAGGUAAGUCACCUUGCUCUGUGACUGGAACUUGGUAUUCUCAUCGGUCAAGUUAGCUCACAAAUAGCUAAAAGUUUAUAAAAAGUUUGAGAGAGAGUGAUGGCAGAGUCCUCCUCUUUACUGUGCCAGCAAUGAAAGAAGCCAUAGUCUCUUGUUUCCUAGGAAGUGUUUAUCACUUUCUGGAAUUUACUUUGUUUAGAUUUGUGUCCUCAGCUCUCUGAUGAGUUUGAAAGCUAUCAUUAGUGGUUUCUCUAGCUUGUUCUCAGUAUUAGUGGAGAAUGAUGAUCUCUUGUGACUUUUUUGCAUUUUAAAUGGGGGCAUAAUACUUGGGAAUAUUUUGAAAUAUGGAGCUACUGUAACCUGCUAAUUAGCCUCUUCCAAAUACGUUUGCCAUUUUUGUGGUUUUGCAAUAGAAGUUUAAUUUUAACCCGAAAUACCAAAUGACUGAC
rnacentral:lncRNA from 12 species